rnacentral:rRNA from 1 species
AGUCGCCUGUUUAUCAAAAACAUCGCCUCUUGCCAACUAUAAGAGGUCCAGCCUGCCCAGUGACAAAGUUUAACGGCCGCGGUACCCUAACCGUGCAAAGGUAGCGCAAUCACUUGUUCUUUAAAUGAGGACUAGUAUGAACGGCAUCACGAGGGUUAUACUGUCUCCCCCCUUUUUUCAGUGAAACUGAUCUUCCCGUGAAGAAGCGGGAAUAUAAAUAUAAGACGAGAAGACCCCAUGGAGCUUUAAACUCAGAAUCAACUGCUACAAACUUAGCCUAAUAACUACGCAGGAAUGACUUCUAGUUUUAGGUUGGGGUGACCGCGGAGUAAAAUAAAACCUCCACGACGAAAGGAACUAACCGCCUAAACCAAGAGCCACAGCUCUAAGUAUUAAAACAUUAACCUAAUUGAUCCAAUUACUUGAUCAACGAACCAAGUUACCCUGGGGAUAACAGCGCAAUCCAUUUCAAGAGCUCAUAUCGACAAAUGGGUUUACAACCUCGAUGUUGGAUCAGGAUAUCCAAGUGGCGCAGCCGCUACUAACGGUUCGUUUGGUCAUCGAUCCGGCGGCCACGUGAUCUGAGUUCAAACCGGAGA